rnacentral:rRNA from 1 species
AGAGUUGAUCAUGGCUCAGAUUGAACGCUGGCGGCAUGCCUUACACAUGCAAGUCGAACGGUAACGCGGGGCAACCUGGCGACGAGUGGCGAACGGGUGAGUAAUGCAUCGGAACGUGCCCAGUAGUGGGGGAUAGCCCGGCGAAAGCCGGAUUAAUACCGCAUACGACCUAUGGGUGAAAGCGGGGGAUCGCAAGACCUCGCGCUAUUGGAGCGGCCGAUGUCAGAUUAGGUAGUUGGUGGGGUAAAAGCCUACCAAGCCGACGAUCUGUAGCUGGUCUGAGAGGACGACCAGCCACACUGGGACUGAGACACGGCCCAGACUCCUACGGGAGGCAGCAGUGGGGAAUUUUGGACAAUGGGCGCAAGCCUGAUCCAGCCAUGCCGCGUGCGGGAAGAAGGCCUUCGGGUUGUAAACCGCUUUUGUCAGGGAAGAAACGCGCUGAAUUAAUACCUUGGCGUAAUGACGGUACCUGAAGAAUAAGCACCGGCUAACUACGUGCCAGCAGCCGCGGUAAUACGUAGGGUGCGAGCGUUAAUCGGAAUUACUGGGCGUAAAGCGUGCGCAGGCGGUGAUGCAAGACAGAUGUGAAAUCCCCGGGCUUAACCUGGGAACUGCAUUUGUGACUGCAUCGCUGGAGUGCGGCAGAGGGGGAUGGAAUUCCGCGUGUAGCAGUGAAAUGCGUAGAUAUGCGGAGGAACACGAUGGCGAAGGCAAUCCCCUGGGCCUGCACUGACGCUCAUGCACGAAGCGUGGGGAGCAACAGAUAGAUACCCUGGUAGUCCACGCCCUAACGAUGUCACUGU